CUUCAUACAUACCGUCUAAUCAUGGCCACAACGACGAAGAUCUUCGGAUUCGUGCUGCUGGUGAUAACAACCUUCAUGGCUCUCUCGGUUUCCUGUUCUUCGGCAACGGUAUACAAAGUUGGAGACUCGGAUGGAUGGACUACCAAGGACGAAACCUAUAAUUAUUUUUGGGUUGAGGAUAAAGAGUUCCACGUGGGAGAUUCUUUGGUGUUCGAAUACGAUCCCCUAUUCAACGACGUAACUCAAGUCUCUGGUGCCUUGGUGUUGCAUUUUCAGGUUCUUCCUCUAUUUAACCUUUAGAGGUUCACCAUCUCUCACACUCUCUUUAGUAUCUCUCUGUUUCUUUUGUUGUUGAAACAAAGAUUACCUUGUUCUCUCUUUACUCUCUUUGAUUGUUACACAAACGUUUAGUAAGAGAGAAGAGAGAAACCAUUAAUUGUCUACAUCUUGUUUAUUGGAUCAAAGGAUACUUUUCUUACAAGACACACACACAUAGAUAUAGUGGUUUUUCUACUGACCACACACAUUUGCAACCAUACUUCUACUUAGACCUAGACCUUACUUCUAGACAUCAUUACCUAAGCUUAUAACCAAGCUCACAAGCAAGGUUAACCAACAACUCUUACACAACACAACUCUAGUCUUUAGCUAGCAGUUUAACUAACAAAACACACUUCCUUUAAUUUGGGCCUUAACCAAAAACGUAGCCCAUUAGUCUUCUUAGGACCAAACCACACAAAGCCCAACACCUUUCUUCUUGUUGACUUUGCUCCUUCUUCUCUAUGUGUCGUUGACCUUGUCACGACUUCUUCUUCUUCUUCCUUUGCCUUUGCUCUAUGAGCACUUCUUCUUCUCGCUGAAGCUUCUUCUUCUUCUGCAGGUUUAAUCAAAGGUUCAAUUCCAACACUCCCUCUUGAACCCUUUGAUUAAAACCCCAAUUUCAAUUUAGGGAUUUUAAUCCCAUUGCUCCUUGCUUUUUCUUCAUCAUCUUCCUCUUGCUUCGAUUCUUCUUAAUCGAGCUUCUUUCUAUAUCUGUGGUUCUUAGCUUCUCCGACGACAGCUAGAGGUCACAACUCUCACCGAUCACCAGUCACUUCCGCCGUCUUCAACCACCACUUCCGUAAGUUUGCUCUUCUCCCUCUUAAGCUGAAUCUCCAUGGAUCCAACCCUUUUCUUUCAUUUUUUUGUGCGAAUAUCUUUGCCAUCUCUUGGCUAGUUUUCUUCGCAAUUUCCUCUGUUUCUUUGAUCAAUUUCUGACCAAAAACUUUUCUUUGCAGGAAAGACUUCAGCUCUUCCGCUUCAUGUCUCCUCCAAGUUUUCUCCGUGAGCUCUUCUCACGUCUCUUGCUCGGCUGACGUUGCAACCGGCUUCAGCUCCCACUGUGGUGAGCUUCUUCUUUGCUUGGUGUCAACUGUGAUCACCAGCCUUGUUCUCUCUCUUUUUUUUUUUUUCGAUUCUCCAAACCAUCACCUUAGCUUUAGCCUUGGACUUUUGACUCUGGCACCAUCACCCGGCUUCUCUUACCGUAGUCUCUUAGGUUUCUCCAUGAGUUUCAUCCUUGCUUUCUUUGCCUUAGUCGUUUGGUUCUUUGAAUCUCCACCUCGGUUUUUCUCUAACCUUAGCUUGUUAGGCUCUUGAAUCAUCAACCUCCGCUUUCUCGGACUUGGUUUGUUUGACUCCUUGAACCGUUGGCUUUGGUCUUUCUCUAACCUUGGCUUCUCCUUCUCGUUUUCAGGUUUUGAUCCACUCAGAUUUCAACCCUAGUCACUGAUUGGAGCUUCUUAACACCAGUGCUGCCACCUUAAUUGCUUCCUCUUUGACGCAAGGCUUCACUGCCUACAUUUCAUCUUAGAGGUUGCAACCAAGCUUGCAUUGGUGCCGUUUUUUCUUGUUCUACUUCAGCCACAGAAUUCUCCCUCUCGGUUUUGCACUUCACAGGUUUGUCCUUGGCAUCAACCUUCUUCUCAAUCCAUCUUUGUGAAUUGUAACGUUGUUGAACCUUGAACUCUGUUUCAUGCACACUAACCUUAUGAGUUUCUGUUAAGAUGGCUGCAGCAACUCUUCAUUUGUCUUGAGCUCAGGUCCACUCAAGAACUUUUUGCCUAUGAGCUCAGGUCCGCUCAAGGCUUCUCUUCCAGAGGUUUGUCACUUCAACCUUUGUUCUUCUUCAUUCAUCUUUGCCGUUUCCUUCUUACGGCCCACUUCUUCUUCUCUUCAGUCUUUCUUCUUAGACUGACAUCUUCUCCUUGAACAGGCUCCAAGGAUAACUACAGCUCUGAUACCAUGUUGCAUUUUCAGGUUCUUCCUCUAUUUAACCUUUAGAGGUUCACCAUCUCUCACACUCUCUUUAGUAUCUCUCUGUUUCUUUUGUUGUUGAAACAGAGAUUACCUUGUUCUCUCUUUACUCUCUUUGAUUGUUACACAAACGUUUAGUAAGAGAGAAGAGAGAAACAAUUAAUUGUCUACAUCUUGUUUAUUGGAUCAAAGGAUACUUUUCUUACAAGAUACACACACAUAGAUAUAGUGGUUUUUCUACUGACCACACACAUUUGCAACCAUACUUCUACUUAGACCUAGACCUUACUUCUAGACAUCAUUACCUAAGCUUAUAACCAAGCUCACAAGCAAGGUUAACCAACAACUCUUACACAACUCUAGUCUUUAGCUAGCACUUUAACUAACAAAACACACUUCCUUUACUUUGGGCCUUAACCAAAAACGUAGCCCAUUAGUCUUCUUAGGACCAAACCACACAAAGCCCAACACCUUUCUUCUUGUUGACUUUGCUCCUUCUUCUCUAUGUGUCGUUGACCUUGUCACGACUUCUUCUUCUUCUUCCUUUGCCUUUGCUCUAUGAGCACUUCUUCUUCUCGCUGAAGCUUCUUCUUCUUCUGCAGGUUUAAUCAAAGGUUCAAUUCAAAGCUGUUAAAUGAAAAACUAAAUUUUGUUUGUAACUCUGUUAAUAGCUAAAAGCCUAAAAGAAAAAAAACUGCAUUUAAAAAAGAAAAAAUAAUAACUUCCAAAUUUAUAAACAAAUCGAUAAGAAUAUAUAAUUUCUGUAUAUAUUAAAAGGACAAGAGAUAUAUCUCAUUAUCAAUGGUGAACAGAUCUCAUAUACAGCUUAACCCUCUUAUAAAAAUAAAAUAAAAAUAUUUCUUAAACCUUUUUUUUUUAAUUUGAGAUAUGAGGUGUAUCCAAAAAAUAAAAAUAAAAUACAAUGAUAUCUCAAAGGGACUGAAUUAAUUUCCGUUAGUUUAGAAAAAAAAAAUAAGAUAAACAAAAUAAAGUCCUAAAAGGAUAUGGAAUUGUAAAGCACUAUAUAAACAAUGAUAGGGCACCUAAUCUCAUCAUAAUUCAUCACCACAACUCUCUCGCAUCUUUCUCUCAUUAAGCUUUUGUUCGAGAUUUCACAAACUUUCUUCUUUGCUUUGAAAUUUGUUAAUCUUUCUUCCUCUUCAUACACUGUCUAAUCAUGGCCAUAACUACGAAGAUCUUCGGAUUCAUCCUGCUGGUGAUAACAACCUUCAUGGUUAUCUCGGUUUCCUGUUCUUCGGCAACAGUAUACAAAGUUGGAGACUCGGAUGGAUGGACUACCAAGGACGAAACCUAUAAUUAUUUUUGGGUUGAGGAUAAAGAGUUCCACGUGGGAGAUUCUUUGGUGUUCGAAUACGAUCCCCUAUUCAACGACGUAACUC
rnacentral:lncRNA from 1 species